rnacentral:rRNA from 1 species
UACGUAGGGUGCGAGCGUUAAUCGGAAUUACUGGGCGUAAAGCGUGCGCAGGCGGUUAUGUAAGACAGGUGUGAAAUCCCCCGGGCUUAACCUGGGAACUGCAUUUGUGACUGCAUAGCUAGAGUACGGUAGAGGGGGAUGGAAUUCCGCGUGUAGCAGUGAAAUGCGUAGAUAUGCGGAGGAACACCGAUGGCGAAGGCAAUCCCCUGGACCUGUACUGACGCUCAUGCACGAAAGCGUGGGGAGCAAACAGG